rnacentral:tRNA from 2 species
AGGCUUGUAGCUCAGGUGGUUAGAGCGCACCCCUGAUAAGGGUGAGGUCGUGGUUCAAGUCCACUCAGGCCUACCA